rnacentral:rRNA from 1 species
GUGGGGGGCAUUUGUAUUCCGUCGUCAGAGUGAAAAUUCUUGGAUUGCCGGAAGACAAACUACUGCGAAAGCAUUUGCCAAGGAUGUUUUCAUUGAUCAAGAACGAAGGAAGGGGGAUCGAAAACGAUUAGAUACCGUUGUAGUCUCUUCUGUAAACUAUGCCAAUUGGGGAUCGGUACAGGAUUUUUAAUGACUGUAUCGGCACCCGAAGAGAAAUCUUUAAAUGAGGUUCGGGGGGGAGUAUGGUCGCAAGGCUGAAACUUAAAGGAAUUGACGGAAGGGCACCACCAGGUGUGGAGCCUGCGGCUUAAUUUGACUCAACACGGGGAAACUCACCAGGUCCAGACACAAUAAGGAUUGACAGAUUGAUAGCUCUUUCUUGAUCUUGUGGUUGGUGGUGCAUGGCCGUUCUUAGUUGGUGGAGUGAUUUGUCUGGUUAAUUCCGAUAACGAACGAGACCUUAACCUGCUAAAUAGACCAGCCGGCUUUGGCUAGCUGCUGUCUUCUUAGAGGGACUAUCAGCGUUUAGCUGAUGGAAGUUUGAGGCAAUAACAGGUCUGUGAUGCCCUUAGAUGUUCUGGGCCGCACGCGCGCUACACUGACAGAGCCAGCGAGUCUACCACCUUUGCCGGAAGGCAUGGGUAAUCUUGUGAAACUCUGUCGUGAUGGGGAUAGAACAUUGCAAUUAUUGUUCUUCAACGAGGAAUACCUAGUAAGCGUGAUUCAUCAGAUCGCGUUGAUUACGUCCCUGCCCUUUGUACACACCGCCCGUCGCUACUACCGAUUGAAUGGCUUAGUGAGGCCUCCGGAUUGGCUAUUGGGAGCUCGCGAGAGCACCCGACUGCCGAGAAGUUGUACGAACUUGGUCAUUUAGAGGAAGUAAAAGUC